UACGUAGGGUGCGAGCGUUAAUCGGAAUUACUGGGCGUGAAGCGUGCGCAGGCGGUUCUGAAAGUCAGGUGUGAAAGCCCCGGGCUUAACCUGGGAAUUGCGGUUGAAACUACAGGGCUAGAAUCUGGCAGAGGGGGGUGGAAUUCCACGUGUAGCAGUGAAAUGCGUAGAGAUGUGGAGGAACACCGAUGGCGAAGGCAGCCCCCUGGGCUGAGAUUGACGCUCAGGCACGAAAGCGUGGGGAGCAAACAGG
rnacentral:rRNA from 1 species